ACUUAAAUAGCUUAUGUGUAGAGCAUAACAUUGAAGAUGUUAGUGAGAUUUAUAAUCUUUAGGUA
rnacentral:tRNA from 1 species